rnacentral:rRNA from 1 species
GUCGAGCGGAGAGGCCCAUUUCGGGGGUACUCGAGCGGCGAACGGGUGAGUAACACGUGAGUAAUCUGCCCUUGGCUUUGGGAUAAGCCCCGGAAACGGGGUCUAAUACCGGAUACGACGACUCCCGGCAUCGGGUGGUUGUGGAAAGUUUUUUCGGCCAGGGAUGUGCUCGCGGCCUAUCAGCUUGUUGGUGGGGUAAUGGCCUACCAAGGCUUCGACGGGUAGCCGGCCUGAGAGGGUGACCGGCCACACUGGGACUGAGACACGGCCCAGACUCCUACGGGAGGCAGCAGUGGGGAAUAUUGGACAAUGGGCGGAAGCCUGAUCCAGCAACGCCGCGUGAGGGAUGACGGCCUUCGGGUUGUAAACCUCUUUCAGUACCGACGAAGCGCCGAUGAUGGUGGUGACGGUAGGUACAGAAGAAGCACCGGCCAACUACGUGCCAGCAGCCGCGGUAAUACGUAGGGUGCGAGCGUUGUCCGGAAUUAUUGGGCGUAAAGGGCUCGUAGGCGGUUUGUCGCGUCGGGAGUGAAAACACCGGGCUUAACUCGGUGCUUGCUUUCGAUACGGGCAGACUAGAGGCAUGCAGGGGAGAACGGAAUUCCUGGUGUAGCGGUGAAAUGCGCAGAUAUCAGGAGGAACACCGGUGGCGAAGGCGGUUCUCUGGGCAUGUCCUGACGCUGAGGAGCGAAAGUGUG